rnacentral:pre_miRNA from 1 species
CGGGAAGAUUUGAAGACUUCAGCUUGCAUACUUGGAAGAUUUGAAGACUUCAGCUUGCAUACUUGGAAGAUUUGAAGACUUCAGCU